AGAUGGCGACCGGCGCACGGGUGAGUAACACGUAUCCAACCUGCCGAUAACUCGGGGAUAGCCUUUCGAAAGAAAGAUUAAUACCCGAUGGUAUAAUCAGACCGCAUGGUCUUGUUAUUAAAGAAUUUCGGUUAUCGAUGGGGAUGCGUUCCAUUAGGCAGUUGGUGGGGUAACGGCUCACCAAACCUUCGAUGGAUAGGGGUUCUGAGAGGAAGGUCCCCCACAUUGGAACUGAGACACGGUCCAA
rnacentral:rRNA from 1 species